AGAAAGUUGAUUAGAAUCUUUAAGGCUAGAAUCAUGAGAAUUAGGUGACAUUAAUAUAGAACUCUGAAGACUGCUGCUAGGUGCGAGUUGCUACUUAUUUUCGGCGAUAGGAGUUUCUAAAUUAAAAGAUUUAGUAUUAUAUCAUUAGGUAAACAUGAAGAAGGUUGAGCAGGAAGAAGUCCCAUUUGGAACAAAUUAGGAGAAGGUUCUCCUGAACGUGGGAGAUAGAUUGGAAAAUGAGAAGAUUUAGAGGAGUUAUCUAAAAAUAUAUCGGAUGAGAUAGAAUUAGGUACGGUUAUUGGCUGAGUAGAAAAGAAGGUCUGAAAUGGAAAAGAGUCUUCAACAAAAUGAACAUGUCGAGAGAUGAUAACUCUAUUUGAAUUAGGACCCAAACACUUAAAACCUUUGUGUUUAUCAG
rnacentral:lncRNA from 1 species